AUUGAACGCUGGCGGCAUGCUUUACACAUGCAAGUCGAACGGCAGCGCGGGCUUCGGCCUGGCGGCGAGUGGCGAACGGGUGAGUAAUACAUCGGAACGUGCCCAGUAGUGGAGGAUAGCUCGGCGAAAGCCGGAUUAAUACCGCAUACGACCUGAGGGUGAAAGCGGGGGAUCUUCGGACCUCGCGCUAUUGGAGCGGCCGAUGGCAGAUUAGCUAGUUGGUGGGGUAAAGGCCUACCAAGGCGACGAUCUGUAGCUGGUCUGAGAGGACGACCAGCCACACUGGGACUGAGACACGGCCCAGACUCCUACGGGAGGCAGCAGUGGGGAAUUUUGGACAAAGGGCGAAAGCCUGAUCCAGCAAUGCCGCGUGUGUGAUGAAGGCCUUCGGGUUGUAAAGCACUUUUGGCGGGAACGAAAAGGACUGUGCCAAUACCACGGUUCGAUGACGGUACCCGCAGAAUAAGCACCGGCUAACUACGUG
rnacentral:rRNA from 1 species